rnacentral:rRNA from 1 species
AACGAACGCUGGCGGCAUGCCUAACACAUGCAAGUCGAACGAGACCUUCGGGUCUAGUGGCGCACGGGUGCGUAACGCGUGGGAACCUGCCCUUAGGUUCGGAAUAACUCCCCGAAAGGGGUGCUAAUACCGGAUAAUGUCUUCGGACCAAAGAUUUAUCGCCUUUGGAUGGGCCCGCGUUGGAUUAGCUAGUUGGUAGGGUAAAAGCCUACCAAGGCGACGAUCCAUAGCUGGUCUGAGAGGAUGAUCAGCCACACUGGGACUGAGACACGGCCCAGACUCUUACGGGAGGCAGCAGUGGGGAAUAUUGGAAAGUGGGCGAAAGCAUGAUGCAGCAAGGCCGCGUGAGUGAUGAAGGCCUUAGGGGUGUAAAGCUCUUUUACCCGGGAUGAUAAUGACAGUACCGGGAGAAUAAGCACCGGCUAACUCCGUG